CUGACAGCGACAGCGAUGGUGAGGGAAGCAGUGUACCGAACUCUCAGAUGACUCGGACCAGGUGACCAAACCCAUGCAAAACACAAUGACUGUGCUGAGGCGUUCCGCCCCCCUCCCCCUCCACACCACUCAAGGCACGGCGGCGGCCCAACCGCAAACUAACGGAGAUUAACAAGAGGCUGGAUGCGCUUGGCUCCCUGCUGCGUCCAUCACCAGAG